rnacentral:miRNA from 1 species
CUCUCUCUCUCUCUCUCUCUCUCUCUCUCUCUCUCUCUCAUAUAUAUAUAUAUAUAAGAGAGAGAGAGAGAGAGAGAGAGAGAGAGAGAGAGAGAG